UGGCGAUCUGAGAUCGAUUAAUCGAAGAAUCGAUUUUUCGAGCAGAAAGUAUCGAUUUUUUAAAUCGAUAUGAAGUACUGUGUCGAUUCACUGAAUCGAUAUAUCACCCUUGAAAAUCGACAUUCGAUUUUUUUCUGUUUUGGUAUAAACCAUACAAUUAUUUGCAUUUAGUUGAAUGUGCCUGAAUUAUAAGAGUGCUGCCGGUUAAAGAGUUAACUACUCAUAAACUCGCGAGAUGGCUGUAUGUUUAGUAUCCUUUACUCGCCUCUCUUUAAUAAAAAAGUUACGUUUGUAGUCUUUGACUUUAUGUAUUUAUAAUCUGUGACGAUUGAUAUUGCAUUAUUCAUUUGUUGUUGUCGUUUAAUGAAUACUGUUAUUAGCGUAAUAUAAGUAUUUUCAUGAUUGAUUUUCAUCAGAUUUUCAUGUAGUGUUUGUUGCGAAAUAAUAACUAAUUGAGAGUAGCAUGUCGGGUAGAAGUGAUUUAUGGAAUCAUUUUAUUAAAAAAGACUUCGGAGGCACAUGCAAAUAUUGUCACCAGGACGUAAAAACUAAGGGAAACUGAGCAUUGGGAACUAUAGUUCCCAGUUAUAAUUCCCAAUGCUUAAUAUUUAAACUUUUAACUCUUACCUUAUUUUUUACUUUUUUGCAAUCAAUAAAAACAUUCAGUAUAUAAA